GUACGGAAGGCAGCAGUGGGGAAUAUUGGGCAAUGGGCGAAAGCCUGACCCAACCAUGCCGCGUGAGUGAUGAAGGCCUUCGGGUCGUAAAGCUCUGUGGGGAGGGAAGAAACACCCUGUGGCUAACAUCCACGGGGCCUGACGGUACCUCCUUAGCAAGCACCGGCUAACUCCGUGCCAGCAGCCGCGGUAAUACGGAGGGUGCAAACGUUGCUCGGAAUCAUUGGGCGUAAAGCGCACGUAGGCGGCCUGUUAAGUCGGAUGUGAAAUCCCUGGGCUCAACCCAGGAAGUGCAUUCGAAACUGGCAGGCUUGAGUAUGGAAGAGGGUCGCGGAAUUCCCGGUGUAGAGGUGAAAUUCGUAGAUAUCGGGAGGAACACCAGUGGCGAAGGCGGCGACCUGGGCCAAUACUGACGCUGAGGUGCGAAAGCGUGGGGAGCAAACAGGAUUAGAUACCCCCGUAGUCC
rnacentral:rRNA from 1 species